AGAACGAACGCUGGCGGCAGGCCUAACACAUGCAAGUCGAACGCGCGUAGCAAUACGCGAGUGGCGCACGGGUGAGUAACACGUGGGAACCAACCCUGAGGUUCGGAAUAACCGCGGGAAACUGCGGCUAAUACCGGAUAUCCCCUACGGGGGAAAGAUUUAUCGCCUUGGGACGGGCCCGCGUCCGAUUAGCUAGUUGGUGAGGUAAUGGCUCACCAAGGCUCCGAUCGGUAGCUGGUCUGAGAGGACGACCAGCCACACUGGAACUGAGAUACGGUCCAGACUCCUACGGGAGGCAGCAGUGGGGAAUAUUGGGCAAUGGAGGCAACUCUGACCCCAGCCCAAUGCCGCGUGGGUGACGAAGGUCUUCGGAUUGUAAAGCCCUUUCGGCGGGACGAUGAUGACGGUACCGCGAGAAGAGCCCGCUACUCGUGCCAGCAGCCGC
rnacentral:rRNA from 1 species